GACGAACGCUGGCGGCGUGCUUAACACAUGCAAGUCGAACGGAAAGGCCCUGCUUUUGUGGGGUGCUCGAGUGGCGAACGGGUGAGUAACACGUGAGUAACCUGCCCUUGACUUUGGGAUAACUUCAGGAAACUGGGGCUAAUACCGGAUAUGAGCUCCUGCUGCAUGGUGGGGGUUGGAAAGUUUCGGCGGUUGGGGAUGGACUCGCGGCUUAUCAGCUUGUUGGUGGGGUAGUGGCUUACCAAGGCUUUGACGGGUAGCCGGCCUGAGAGGGUGACCGGCCACAUUGGGACUGAGAUACGGCCCAGACUCCUACGGGAGGCAGCAGUGGGGAAUAUUGCACAAUGGGCGGAAGCCUGAUGCAGCAACGCCGCGUGCGGGAUGCCGGCCUUCGGGUUGUAAACCGCUUUCGCCUGUGACGAAGCGUGAGUGACGGUAAUGGGUAAAGAAGCACCGGCUAACUACGUG
rnacentral:rRNA from 1 species